rnacentral:lncRNA from 1 species
UUUCUCAAGCCGUCACGCGCUGCCGGCUGGGUCAACUUGCUGUUGACCGCGCCCUGUGCUCCCUCUCGUGUUGCAGGAGCUCCAACCAGGGCCCGGUGCUCAAGCUGCACCACGCCGCCACCGACUGACUCCGGGAAUGGUUGGACCCGUGCUCUCCUCACCCGUUCAGCCGAUGUGCCGACGAACCAACCAGCUGCAGCAGCAGGUCCCUAUGCCUCGCUCUUCUCUUCUUCUUCCUCCCCUGCUCUCCCCCUCUUUCUGAAUUUUUUUUCUCUGAACUUGUCUGAAUCAGAAGCUACAGGAGCCCCAUGGCUGCCGUCUCGUCACCGUGAACCUCACCGUCGGAGCCCUCCCAGCCAGCUCCGCACCCGACCGUUCCCCCCUAUCCAUUCCCGGCCUCCGAGUCCGCCAUCUUCGCCGAAGCAUCGCGCCGUCGGCCUCUGCAUCCCCGUUGUGAGCAGUCCUCCCGAUCUGAAUUCAGUCUCCUCUAGAUCCGUUCUGGCAAGGACAUGUUGUCUGUAGUGGGCACUGGUUCUGUCAACGAGUUGUAGGCUAGCUAAGUUGGCUAGCGUAGCCAACUGCUGUGAUGGAGGUCCCCGGUUCGACUCCCGUGCGCCCCAGAUUUUAUGUUUCAUUUUCUUUUGUUGUGCACCAGCUCAUAUUUUGUUCCCGUCUUGGUUAGUUGAUAUACAUUAACAGAGUUUAGUGCAGUGGCUAGCAACCUUAUUUUCAAAUGAGAGGUCUAGGGAUCAAAUCCCCAUCAGUGCAUAUUUUUUUUAUUUUUUUAGGAAUUUUGCCUCCAGCGCACCAGCUUCUGUCAUACUUGUGGAUUUGUUGUUUUGUCAAUUUUGACACAACCACUUAAUUAGUCUGGUGGUAGGGCUAUUACUGUCGAUCCAAGGGAUCUGGGGUUCAAAUCCUAGCAAUUCCAUUUUUUUUAUUUUGGACAGAUUCAAAUGCCCUUUUGUAAAAUUCGUAUAAAUUUAACCGUGCACCGGUUUAAAAUGAUUUGAACAUGUAAGUUGCUUAGAAUUUUCUGUAGUUUCACAAUAACCAUCUCCCAUGCAUAUUUAAAACUGUUAGGUGUGUUGUUUUGCUUCGGUUUGCAUGUCGACGUAAUGUAAACGGUUUGGGUCGUAACUAUUUAACCGUAUCUCUCUUGGAGAUGUGCCAUAUAUGUAAAUGGGCCAGAACAACGAGUAGAAACACGUGAACCACUUUGUUUUGCCGUUUAACAAACCUAAAAUGUGAUUAGGACAAAUCUGGACAGAAUUAAGAUUUAACACAUGGGGUCAUUUCGGAGAUGCUAUAUGUCGUUUCCGAUCUCAUUUAAAAUGUCUAGCUAGGUAGAUUAAUUUGUGCUUCACCCUCGUGCCAUGUUUAACAACAUUUAAUAUAUCUGUGUACCUGAACGGAGUGAACUAAAUAAUUAGACGCGGUGUUUCGUCGAUAUGCAACUCGUUGCAUAUCGAGCUUCACUUAAUGUGUAGUGUUUGGUUGUGGUGUUUGUCAUGCCUUGCAUUAGUCCGUUCAUGCAUCAUAUGUGUUGUGCAUAGUGUGGUGUAUAUCCUGUGUUGAUGCUUGUUUCCCUUUCCAUCCGUCUCGAUAGACUUCCGCAAGCGUGUCGGAAUGUGAGGACACGUUCGUCCACGUUGGUUCGUCUGCUUCACCGAGUUGUUCUUCUUCCAAGCGGGAUCUCAGGCAAGAUGAUCAUUUCCCCAGAUACCAUUACUAUCAUUGCCAUGCUAGUUUUAUCGCUUCUAUCGAUUAUGUCUCGUUGCCUACCACAUGUUAAAUAUGAGCCUCUCAACAAUGCCAUGAAAACCAUCAACCUGUUCAACCUAGCAAACCAAUGAUUGGCUAUGUUACUGCUGCUUAACCCUGUUGUUAGCGUUGUUAGUUGCAGGUGCAGAUGUUUCCAUGNNNNNNNNNNNNNNNNNNNNNNNNNNNNNNNNNNNNNNNNNNNNNNNNNNNNNNNNNNNNNNNNNNNNNNNNNNNNNNNNNNNNNNNNNNNNNNNNNNNNGCGGUACUACCGCUGGCACCAGCGGUACUACCGCUGGGGACCAUUUUGCGGAGAUGCUCAAGACGAAUAGGCGAGGGCCGCUCCAAAAGAUAAGGAAAGGGAGAAUGCAAAGUGUGCGUGUGUAAAGAUAGAUUCCACCCAAACCUUUCCGCUACGGAUCCCCUCUUAAUAGUACGGCUUUCCUAUGACUCAAAUAAAGAGAAUCGUAGAGAGCGCCGUGCUUCUGUUCCAGAAGAGAGGAGACGAGUCGUCUUGUGCCGUUGACGAGUGUUACCUGAAACCUUGACAAACAUGAUUAGUACUGUACGGUACUGUCAUCAAUCACCAAAAUUACUUAGGCAUAAACUAUGCCUCAACAAUCUCCCCCUUUUUGGUGGAUUGAUGACAAUACCGGAUUUGCACAGAUAAUAAUAUGAGAAUAAAAAGAUAGAGAUAUAUGACAUAUGACUCACAACAUAUGAUGGAAAUAAAUCUAAUCUCACAUAAGAAAGAUCAUGUCUCACACAAGAUAGCAAACGAAUCAAACCAAGUUCAAAGCAAACCAUACGAGAUAAAGCAAAGCAAUGCAAAGUUCGAAAUGAAAGCAAAUCCUAGACUCUCUCCCCCUUUGGCACAAGACACCAAAAAGGGGCACCCCUAAUGCCACAGGUAGCUACUCCUCAUCUUCAGGAUCACCAGACUCGUCUGUCCCCUCCUGGUCGGUCUGCUCCUCCUCUUGCGCCUCAUCGCCCGACCACUGGUACCCCUGAGCCUGCAUCCAAGUGGCCUCAAGCGUGAUGUCGUCCUCUGAGCCGCUGGAGAUGUCCACAUCCAAGGUCCUGAGAACAUGCUUAUGCCUCUGGCGGCUCUGCUUCUGAGCCACGUGUGUCUGAUACUGACCCUUGGCCUGCAUACAGAAAAGUGUCUUCAUCUUGUCCUGCAGUUUGAUAGCCCAAGAUGGCAUGGCAGACGAGCGGGGCUGAGAGGCAGGUCCUCUGCCAGUAGCGGUCUCUGUAUCAGUGUCCAUGUGCUGAGAAGAUGAAGAUGGGUUGGCCCACUUGUCCUUGACGCGCAGCUUGAUUGGGUCAUGCACAAUGUAAUCAGACUGUGCGUAGAGCACCUCAUCCGGAAACGCCUGUUGCCACUUAUGGCUGAUGUAUGCGAACAGGUAAGGCCCGUAGAUAGGAACCUUACGGUUGAUGAUGCAGUUCCAGAGCUCUGUGAACAUCACAUCUGCAAUAUCCAGUGGAGCAGAUUUCUGAGACAUAGCCUCCUCACAAAGUAACAGCAUCUCAGCCAAGUAGCCAUGGACCUCAUCGAAGUUACCACUCUGAGGGAAGAGGGUGUUGCGAAAGAUGCGAUGCAUGAUGUCCAGGUGCUUGGAAAGCACCCCCUUCCUCAGAUACAGUGACUGCAGUCUGUCCUUUGCGAGGGCCCUAUCAGUGGGGGCUGGAGCGUGAGGACGCAGCCCAAGAGGAGUGUCAGCACCCUGAAAGUCAUUGUGAAGGAACUGCAUGAACUCUGCCCAGGAACCGGUCAUCUUCUUUGACCCAGUCAUCCAUAUCAUGGAGCGCUGUUCAUCAUGGGAGAAAUGGACUAUGACAUAAAACUGAGCAACUGCCGUGGGAUCAAAAUCCGUCUUGAAGGAGAUGAUGUUUUUGAUGCCCAGCUUGUCAAUCAAAGCGAGGGCAUCACCAAAGUACUCUGUGUUCCGCUGAAGAUGUGCCAGAUCAAUCCACUGGACAGAGACAAAGUUCUUCUUGAAGUUGGCAAUAACAUCCCGAUAGAUCCUGCAAUGGUCCCUUACCCAGACAUGGUCAACACCAUCGAUCUCAUCCCUCUCCUGGAGAUAGUGGUUCUUGGUGCGAAAUUGCAGAAAGUCCUUGGGGGACAUUGUACGGACAUUCACCCUCUUAUGAGCGACCUUCUUGAAGAACUUCUUCUUGGGAGGCAGGCCAGACGUGGCAGACCCCUCGGGCGCCUCUGGGUUGCGAAACUGUUUGGAUUGCGUUUCCCGUAGGGGGUUCGAACGGCGAGCAGAGCCACCUGUGACACAGACCACAAAGCAAAAAAAAGAGGCGACAAGAAGAGUCAAGGCAAUGAAUCUUGAAAACGUGAAACAAGUAAACACGCAUUGCUAAGCAAAAACAAGCAGAAAAUACACUGUGAAUGCUCUGGCGGUAGUACCGCCACCCCUGGCGGUAGUACCGCUGGGGUCCUAGCGAUAGUACCGCUACCCCUGGCGGUAGUACCGCCACCCCUGGCGGUAGUACCGCUGGGGUCCUAGCGAUAGUACCGCCACCCCUGGCGGUAGUACCGCUGGGGUCCUAGCGAUAGUACCGCCACCCCUGGCGGUAGUACCGCUGGGGUCCUAGCGAUAGUACCGCCACCCCUGGCGGUAGUACCGCNNNNNNNNNNNNNNNNNNNNNNNNNNNNNNNNNNNNNNNNNNNNNNNCCCUGGCGGUAGUACCGCUGGGGUCCUAGCGAUAGUACCGCUACCCCUGGCGGUAGUACCGCCAGCCCUGGCGGUAGUACCGCUGGGGUCCUAGCGAUAGUACCGCUACCCCUGGCGGUAGUACCGCUGGGGGUUUGACUUUCAGAUCUGACAAAUAAUACUCGUUUUCGAGGGCAUGGGCUGAAUAUGAACACUAAGACGUACACCCCAGCCCUACUGUCAUGAGGAACACAUAACAUUAAGAGAUACAAACAUGCCUAGGCAAGAGAGAGCACGUUUUAGAUCUAAUCCAAAAAUUCAAGUGAUCGAUCUAAGACGAAUGAAUCCUAGGACAUGGCAGCAAACACAACAACAAAUCAUCGGAUCUAUACCCCCCUCAAAUAUUUCCUCCAUGCCAUCCAAGAACUAGCCAUAGGAUCAAAAAUAUGAGUCCAAUCCCCAAUGCUCCUACCCCUAGAACACGAGUAAUCAAAGAGAAGAAGGGAGGAGCCUUUUUUACCGGGAUUCAUGGCUUUGGAGGAGGAAGAAGAAGUGAAGCAGCCCUUCCACAGCAACGGGGAGAAGGAGCUCCACGAAGAGAGAUCCAAUCGGGGGGUUUUCGGGCUAGGGGAGGGAGGAGCCGCGAGGAAGAAGAAACAGAUGAAAAAACGGGCUCCCCCUCCCUUUAUAUAGCCCAAGGGGUACGGGCAGCGGUAGUACCGCUGGGGUGCAGCGGUAGUACCGCUGGGGUGCAGCGAUAGUACCGCUGGGAUCCUGGCGGUAGUACCGCUCCCCUGGCGGUAGUACCGCUCCCCCUCGAAACCCUAGAAAUAUCCCAGCCGAUCGUGUUAGAUUUUGAAUCCUGGCGGUAGUACCGCUACAACUGGCGGUAGUACCGCUUGGGUCCUGGCGGUAGUACCGCUAUCCCUGGCGGUAGUACCGCUCCCUUUGGCGGUAGUACCGCUGUACAUGUUUCAACACGGCUAGGAAAAUGGGAAACUUGGGCACAUGACAAGUGAGUAAAAAGGGACGACUUCCAAGAAAAUGUACUGACUUGUCAUUGUAUAUCCUGUCCUUUAUACGCAAGAGAGGAUGGAGGGGCGGUGGCCGUGGCCACCUAUGUUUGAGACAAUGGCAUGACACCGCGAAGAAUUAUCUUUGGGUUCAUGACCAAUGCUCGUCUUUGAAGCACAAGUACCAUUUGACAAUGGCUAAAGUGAAAGACUAGAUUGAUUUACGCAUAAUGGGGGAAGGGAGAGUUCAUUGAGAGAACAACACUCCUCCUAUGUCCAUGGCUACAUCUAGACCAAGAUGGAAUGUGAAGUGAGGUGCAAUAUGCCUAGUUUCAAUCCACAUUACUUGAAUCAAUGAUAUUUAGCUCAUGCCUUAACUCCCGGAACCUUGCUUCAUCUAGUGGCUUGGUGAAAAUAUCUGCAAGUUGCUCUUCAGUGUGGAUGAAGUGAACCUCAAUAUCACCUAGCUUGAUAUGUUCACGGAUGAAGUGAUGACGAAUAUCAAUAUGUUUGGUUUUGCUAUGUUGCACUGGGUUGAGGGAAAUCUUGAUGGCGCUUUGAUUGUCACAUAGAAGAGGCAUUUUGUCACAAGUGACACCAUAAUCCCUUAAAGUUUGCCUCAUCCAUAGCAAUUGAGCACAACAACUUGCAGCCGCCACAUACUCAGCCUCGGUGGAUGAUAAGGAGACGCAGUUCUGCUUCUUUGAAGACCAACUUACCAAAGAGCGACCAAGGAAUUGGCAUCCUCCAGACGUUGACUUCCUCUCCACACAAUCUCCAGCCCAAUCUGAGUCAGAAUAGCCAACUAGAUUGAAGUUUGCUCCUUUGGGAUACCAGAGACCAAAGUUUGGGGUAUGAGCCAAAUAUCGAAAGAUUCGUUUGACAGCCAUGUAAUGACUUUCUUUUGGUGCGGAUUGAAACCGUGCACAUAUCCCUACACUCAACAUAAUAUCUGGUCUAGAUGCACAAAGGUAAAGGAGGGAUCCAAUCAUGGAGCGGUAUACCUUUUGAUCCACUGCUUUACCAUUGGGAUCACUGUCAAGCUUGCAUCUGGUUGGCAUGGGGAACUUGACCGGUUUGACAUCUUCGAGCUCGAACCGUUUGAGCAUGUCUUGAGUGUACUUGGCUUGUUUGAUGAAUGUCCCUUCUAGACCUUGUUUAAUCUCGAAUCCGAGGAAAAACUUCAACUCUCCCAUCAUGGACAUCUCAAACUUCUCAGUCAUUAGCGCAGCAAAUUCUUCAUUGAAUGAAAUGUUAGGAGAGCCAAAGAUAAUAUCAUCAACAUAUAGUUGGCAUAUGAACAAAUCCCCUUUAACCCUCUUAGUAAAAAGAGUGGGAUCAAUCUUACCAAUUUCAAACCCACGAUCUUGUAACAACUCAGUAAGGUACUCAUACCACGCAUGUGGGGCUUGUUUAAGGCCAUAGAGUGCCUUAUUGAGUUUGUACACAUGAUUGGGGAGCUUGGGAUGUUCGAAUCCCGGGGGUUGUUUGACAUAUACCAACUCAUUUAAAGGACCAUUAAGAAAUGCACAUUUCACAUCCAUUUGCUGUAAUUUGAAGUUAUGAUGAGAAGCAAAAGCAAGUAGCAUGCGAAUAGAUUCUAGACGAGCAACAGGGGCAAAGGUUUCACCGUAGUCGAUACCCUCGACUUGGGAGUAGCCUUGAGCCACCAAUCUUGCCUUGUUUCGAAUCACAAUUCCAUUUGCAUCUUGCUUGUUCUUAAAUAUCCAUUUGGUCCCAAUGACAUUAUGUUCCUUCGUUGGUCGUGGCACUAAAUCCCAGACUUGGUUGCGCUCGAAGUUGUUAAGUUCUUCGUGCAUGGCCAUAAGCCAAUCCUCAUCAUCGAGCGCUUCCUGUACCUGUUGAGGUUCACAAUACGAAACAAACGCGUGAUGCUCACAAUAAUUCCAAAGCUGUUGACGGGUAGAUACUCCCCUUUUUAAACUACCAAGAACAUUCUUCAUAAGAUGUGACUUGGCUUUCAGCUUGUUCGCAUUCUUGGCUGCUCGACGCUCCAAGAGUUCUUCAUUAGAUAACGGGGGAGCAUCGACUUGUAUCUUUUGUUUGCCCUUGCGUCUUGAGCCGGUUGUUGGAGCUCCAGACGGGAAUUGUGAGACAGUCUCCUGAUCACUUUGUCCUUCGACUUGAGCAGGUUCACUAGUUUGAUCUUGUAUUAGUGGUUUCUCUUGAUCUUGAUCUCGUGCUGGUUCAGGGUCUGGUAGUGCUUGAGUGGGCAUAUCACCAUUGUUAGGCAAUUGAUCUUGACCGAGAGCUUGAUCAGCUUGUUGAGAGUCUUCUCUUUGUUCAUCGAAAGCGUGUGGGGCUUGUGGGGGUGAUGGCUCCACUUGAGUAGAGUAUUGUCCUUCUCCUUUGGCCACAAGGGGUUCCUCAAUGGGGAGUAUUUGACCAAUCCCCAUUCUUCUUAUGGCUUCGGGAGGAAUUUCAUCACCUAUAUCACAAAGACCACUUUGCUCCACUUGGGAGCCAUUAUUUUCGUCAAACUCUACGUUACACGUCUCCUCAAUUAGUCCGGUGGACUUGUUGAGGACACGGUAAGCAUGAGAGUUUGUAGCAUAACCAACAAAGAUACCCUCAUGUACUCUAGAAUCAAAUUUAGCUAACCGAGCUCCCUUUUUAAGAAUGAAACACUUACAACCGAAUACCCGGAAGUACUUGAGAUUGGGUUUGUUUCCAGUUAGAAUCUCAUACGGAGUCUUGUUCAAGCCUUUGCGGAUGUAGAGCCGAUUGGACGCAUGACAUGCUGUGUUGAUGGCCUCUGCCCAGAAGUUGUAUGGAGAUUUGAAUUCUGCCAUCAUUGUUCUUGCAGCGUCUAUCAAGGUCCGGUUCUUCCUUUCUGCCACGCCGUUUUGCUGAGGGGUAUAUGGUGCAGAAUAUUGGUGCUUUAUUCCCUCAUCACCUAGAAACUCAUCUAGGGUGUAGUUCUUGAACUCGGUGCCGUUGUCACUCCUAAUCAUCAAGAUCUUCGCUUCAUGUUGACGUUGCGCUUCAUUGGCAAAGUUGAUGACCGUUUGUUGAGUUUCACUCUUCCUUUUGAAGAAAUAUACCCAGGUAUAUCUUGAGUAAUCGUCAACAAUGACUAAGCAAUACUUUCUGCCUCCAAGACUAUCAAAUGUAGGAGGACCAAACAGAUCCAUGUGGAGAAGUUCCAAUGGCCUCUUAGUGUAGAUAAGAGUCAUUGGACGAUGAGCAGUUUCAUGAAUAUUUCCUUCAAUGCAAGCACUGCAAACACGAUCUUUAGCAAAGCUCACAUUUGUUAGUCCACGAACAUGGUCCCCUGUCAGAAGACUUUGCAAAGAUCUCAUAUUGACAUGAGCUAAACGGCGAUGCCACAGCCAGCCCACGUCAACUUUAGCCAUUAAACAUGUCGCAGUCUUAGUGGGUCGCUUUGAAAAGUUUACCACAUAGAGACCAUUUUCGACAUGUCCAACAUAGGCUACUUUAAGAGUCUUGCUCCUUAGGAGGACCACAGUGUCAAUAUUAAAGAAUGUGGAAAAACCCAUGAUUGCAAGUUGACGAACGGAAAGUAAAUUGUAGGCAAGAGACUCAACAAGCAUGACCUUCUCAAUAGACAAAUCUUGAGAGACGAUCACCUUACCAAAUCCCAAUACCUUUGACGAGGAUGCAUCGGCGAAUUGGACAUGGGUGGGCAUAGAUGGAGAAGGAUGCACAUCCACCACUAAGUCCUUGCUUUCGGUCAUAUGAUUUGUUGCUCCACUAUCGAGCAACCAUGACACCCCACCGGAAGCAAACUCCUGCAAUAGAUCAAGGCUUGGUUUUAGGUACCCAUAUUUUAAUGGGUCCUUUCAUGUUAGAGACAAGGGUCUUAGGAACCCAGAUAGCCCAUUCAAUAUCUUCAUCGUAGGAACCAACAAAUCUGGCAUAAACAUGCCCAUCACUAGCACACCGUAACACAUAAGAGGAAUUGAGUUUGCCAGCUGUGUUAGUAGGAGCGGUUUUGCCCUUCUUGGGGUUCCCAUAGUCCACCUUGUUCCUGUUCACCUUCUGAGUCCCCUCAUCCUCCUUGACAAAGAUGUCCAUGAGGGUGAGGGAUCGUUUGUUCUUGUUCUUCCUUUUACCUUGUGACUUGGAGGUAAGUCCAAGUCCUUCCUUUCCUACAACACCCUUUUGAGUGCUCAAGAGAUCGUUCAGACUCUUCUCACCUUGUCUGCAUGACACAAGGCCCUUCUCAAGUUUCUCCUUUAACUUGGCAUUUUCCUCCACAAGAUGAACAUGCUCACAACAGGGGUUAGUUGCACAAGUAUUAUCAAUUAACACAAAGGGAGGACAAGUAGAGAUCUCCUUGGUAAGCUUUGCUUGGAGUUGAUCAUGAGACUCUUUCAGAGUGAAAUGAACACCUUUCAAGGCUUUGUGGGCCUUGUCAAGUAUGUCAAACUCUUCUUUGAGUCUGUCACGGCCAACCUCAAGAGCAUACUUUUCAGAUUUAAGCAUGCGAGUAAGAACAACAUCAUGAUCUAGUUUCUUUUGCAUUUUAGUGCAGUCAUCGUUAUAUGACUCCUCAAGAGCCAAACGAAGAGUGCGCUCUUCUUCUAGAGUACUAGAUAAUUCGGCAAUUUCAUCGGCAUAGUCACGGCUAUGUCCAUGAAGCUCGGAGAUGGUCUCCUCAUGAGACUCAAUGAGGUCAGUGGCCUCACCCAGUUGUUCCAAGAGAGCAACAAAAUGCUUCUUGGUUUCUCCCUUAAUAGUGCAUAAAAACUUAUCAAGAUCAUGCUCAUUAAGUUCUCCAACAUCACUAUCUUCUACACAAUUUAACAAUGAAGGAGCAGAAGCAAUGUUGGUCUUAAUGAUAGGAGUUACCUGAUUGGUACCUUUUGCCAUGAGGCACUUGGUGAUGUGGUUCUCGCUGGGGGCGUUGAAGAGAGACACCUUCUGGGAAGGGGUAGUGGCUACAGCAACAGUUGCCGUUGCCACUGUAUCAUCAGGGAUCAGAAGGAUACUCCUCGAGGGCCACCAUUCCUUUUGGGUGAGGUUUCUUCACAAAGUUGUUCUUGAUUGGAAAUGAUUUGGUUUUGUCUUUGCGAAUGAGCUUGCUUCCGUUGUCUUCUCUCUUCUCAUAGGGGCAUUCUGCCAUGAAGUGACUCACGUUGCCACAGUUAUAACAUGUCCUUACUCGUUGUUUGGGUUUGAAUCCACUUGAGUUGUUCUUGUUGAAGGUUGGUCUUGAGUUCCUUUUAUUUCCCCAGAAUUGCCUUGAUGCAAGAGCCAUGUGCUCAUGAUAGGCAUACUUUGUGUCUUUCGGGCAGCUCUCCUCUGGGGGGUUCUUCUUCAAGCAUUGCUCUUGCUUUUAACGCAAGUUUGGGUGAAGUGGUUUUUGAUCGGACACGAGCAAGUGCAUUGUCGGCUGUUUCGUUCAUGAUUGACAUAGCAAUGAACUCAUCCAACACUUCACUGGAAGACAAGGAGUGGAAGUCUGGCCGCUGACGAAUGACAGAUGACAUGGCUUUGUUGAAAGGCAUGAUGGCUUUGAGAAACUUGCGCUUGACCCAAGUGUCAUCCACAUCCUUACUCCCAUGGUCCUUUAGUGCCACAGCAAUAGCAGUCACCCUCCGAUAGAGAUCACGAGGGUCAUCUUCUUCCUUCAUCACAAACUCAUCGGCCUGAUCAAGUAUCACUUCAUAGUUGGAUCGUUGAAUACCUGAGCUUCCCUUAUACAACACCAUAAUAUGCUCCCAACAAUCCUUGGCCAAUGUGAAGGGACGUAAGUGGGGAAGAUCUUUAGGUGGCACAGCAGACUGGAGAAUAAACAGCGCAGAGUGAUUAUAUUGAUUGUCUGCACCUUCUCUUGGAGUGAGGUUGCUUGGGUCAUGGGGGUAAUAUCCUUGCUCGAUAAUUCUCCACAAGUUUGUUGAGCUGUGAUUCAAAUGAGACUUAAUAGAAAAUACCCAGUUAGCAAAGUCACCUUUUACAAGUUUAGGAGGAGGACCAACAGGAUUAAGACGAGGUGCGAGAACGGGUCCUCCAUAAGUCAUGGGAGGUGGAACCGAAGCAUAUGUUCCAGUCCCAUCUUUUUCGUGAGGUGAAGCAGGUUGCAUACCUUUAGCCGCUUCCUUAGAGGAGUUGGCCUCCGAAUCGGAAAUGGUGGGUUUAACCACUAAAGCCGGUUCAGGUGAACUUUUAAGACCAUCAAUUAAUUCUUUAAGCAUGGUUUUGACUUCGCUCGUCAAGGACGUCCUGAGGGCGGCCAUAGCCGUAUUCAAGUCGUCCCUUGUGACCGAAGUCAAGUCCAUGUCCUCGGGUUGCCCACGGUUAACUUCCUCUCCGCCUUCCAUACUCUUCGGGUGGUUAAACCCUUAAUAAAGAGACGUGGCUCUGAUACCAAUUGAAAGGAUCGAUAUGGUUGGCUAGAGGGGGGGUGAAUAGACAACGACCACUUUUUAAUUAAUCUUAACAAGUUAAGGUAAACACUAUACGGGUUCACAAAUAAUAUGACAAAGAGGUGACCCCUAUAGAAGCUACCAACAAGACCUAUUAAGACAAGUAAGAUAUAGUCACAAGUAAAAGCAAAUACAAAGUAAAGGUUAGAGAUAACCCCAAGUGGAACCAAUGGAGACGAGGAUGUGUUACCGAAGUUCCUUCCCUUUGACAGGAAGUACGUCUCCGUUGGAGCGGUGUGGAGGCACAAUGCUCCCCAAAAAGCCACUAAGGCCACCGUAUUCUCCUCACGCCCUCGCACGAUGCAAGGUACCGUGAUUCCACUAUAGGUGCCCUUGAAGGCGGCGACCGAACCUUUACAAACAAGGUUGGGGCAACUCCACACAAAGCUUGGAGGCUCCCAACAAGACCACAAAGCUUCACCACAAUGGAAUAUGGCUUNNNNNNNNNNNNNNNNNNNNNNNNNNNNNNNNNNNNNNNNNNNNNNNNNNNNNNNNNNNNNNNNNNNNNNNNNNNNNNNNNNNNNNNNNNNNNNNNNNNNGCCUCUAGUUGGCUAGCCAGUUGAUCGAAGAUAGUCAGUGUCUUCUGAUUAUGAACAAGGUGUUGUUGCUUGAUAACUGGAUCACGUCAUUGGGAGAAUCACGUGAUGGACUAGACCCAAACUAAUAGACGUAGCAUGUUGAUCGUGUCAUUUUGUUGCUACUGUUUUCUGCGUGUCAAGUAUUUAUUCCUAUGACCAUGAGAUCAUAUAACUCACUGACACCGGAGGAAUACUUUGUGUGUAUCAAACGUCGCAACGUAACUGGGUGACUAUAAAGAUGCUCUACAGGUAUCUCCGAAGGUGUUAGUUGAGUUAGUAUGGAUCAAGACUGGGAUUUGUCACUCCGUGUGACGGAGAGGUAUCUCGGGGCCCACUCGGUAAUACAACAUCACACACAAGCCUUGCAAGCAAUGUGACUUAGUGUAAGUUACGGGAUCUUGUAUUACGGAACGAGUAAAGAGACUUGCCGUAAACGAGAUUGAAAUAGGUAUGCGGAUACUGACGAUCGAAUCUCGGGCAAGUAACAUACCGAAGGACAAAGGGAAUGACAUACGGGAUUAUAUGAAUCCUUGGCACUGAGGUUCAAACGAUAAGAUCUUCGUAGAAUAUGUAGGAUCCAAUAUGGGCAUCCAGGUCCCGCUAUUGGAUAUUGACCGAGGAGUCUCUCGGGUAAUGUCUACAUAGUUCUCGAACCCGCAGGGUCUGCACACUUAAGGUUCGACGUUGUUUUAUGCGUAUUUGAGUUAUAUGGUUGGUUACCGAAUGUUGUUCCGAGUCCCGGAUGAGAUCACGGACGUCAUGAGGGUUUCCGGAAUGGUCCGGAAACGAAGAUUGGUAUAUAGGAUGACCUCAUUUGAUUACCGGAAGGUUUUCGGAGUUACCGGGAAUGUACCGGGAAUGACGAAUGGGUUCCGGGAGUUCACCGGGGGGGGGGGGGGGGAGAGUCNGACCUUCCCCCCUUGGCUCGGCCGACCCCCUUGGGGAUCCUUGAGCCCCAAGGCAAGGUCCCCCCUCUCCCACCUAUAUAUACGGAGGUUUUAGGGCUGAUUUGAGACGACUUUUCCACGGCAGCCCGACCANUUCCUAUGACCAUGAGAUCAUAUAACUCACUAACACCGGAGGAAUACUUUGUGUGUAUCAAACGUCGCAACGUAACUGGGUGACUAUAAAGAUGCUCUACAGGUAUCUCCGAAGGUGUUAGUUGAGUUAGUAUGGAUCAAGACUGGGAUUUGUCACUCCGUGUGACUGAGAGGUAUCUCGGGGCCCACUCGGUAAUACAACAUCACACACAAGCCUUGCAAGCAAUGUGACUUAGUGUAAGUUACGGGAUCUUGUAUUACGGAACGAGUAAAGAGACUUGCCGGUAAACGAGAUUGAAAUAGGUAUGCGGAUACUGACGAUCGAAUCUCGGGCAAGUAUCAUACCGAAGGACAAAGGGAAUGACAUACGGGAUUAUAUGAAUCCUUGGCACUGAGGUUCAAACGAUAAGAUCUUCGUAGAAUAUGUAGGAUCCAAUAUGUGCAUCCAGGUCCCGCUAUUGGAUAUUGACCGAGGAGUCUCUCGGGUCAUGUCUACAUAGCUCUCGAACCCGCACGGUCUGCACACUUAAGGUUCGACGUUGUUUUAUGUGUAUUUGAGUUAUAUGGUUGGUUACCGAAUGUUGUUCAGAGUCCCGGAUGAGAUCACGGACGUCACGAGGGUUUCCGGAAUGGUCCGGAAACGAAGAUUGAUAUAUAGGAUGACCUCAUUUUAUUACCGGAAGGUUUUCGGAGUUACCGGGAAUGUACCGGGAAUGACGAAUGGGUUCCGGAAGUUCACCGGGGGGGCAACCCACCCCGGGGAAGCCCAUAGGCCUUGAGGGUGGCGCACCAGCCCUUAGUGGGCUGGUGGGACAGCCCAAAAGGGCCCUACGCGCAUUGGAAGAAAAAUCAAAGAGAAAAGAAAAAAAAGGAGGAGGUGGGAAGGGAAGGAAGGACUCCCACCCACCAAACCAAGUCCAACUCGGUUUGGGGGGGAGACCUUCCCCCCUUGGCUCGGCCGACCCCCUUGGGGCUCCUUGAGCCCCAAGGCAAGGUCACCCCUCUCCCACCUAUAUAUACGGAGGUUUUAGGGCUGAUUUGAGACGACUUUUCCACGGCAGCCCGACCACAUACCUCCACGGUUUUUCCUCUAGAUCGCGUUUCUGCGGAGCUCGGGCGGAGCCCUGCUGAGACAAGGUCAUCACCGACCUCCGGAGCGCCGUCACGCUGCCGGAGAACUCUUCUACCUCUUCGUCUCUCUUGCUGGAUCAAGAAGGCCGAGAUCAUCGUCGAGCUGUACGUGUGCUGAACGCGGAGGUGUCGUCCGUUCGGUACUAGAUCGUGGGACUGAUCGCGGGAUUGUUCGCGGGGCGGAUCGAGGGACGUGAGGACGUUCCACUACAUCAACCACGUUCACUAACGCUUCUGCUGUACGGUCUACAAGGGUACGUAGAUCACUCAUCCCCUCUCGUAGAUGGACAUCACCAUGAUAGGUCUUCGUGCGCGUAGGAAAUUUUUUGUUUCCCAUGCGACGUUCCCCGACAGAUAACUAGAUCGGCACAAAAUUUGUUGCUUUUUUCCUCGGUGAAUCAUGUGCCAUCUUUCUCGUUGGACGGGUGGUUGUCGUCGCUUUUGGUUCCAUGAUGCUACUAGGAAGAGGUGUUGGCUGUUGGAACUGCUUGGGACAUAUUUUUGCCUAUAUUUCCGGUGACACCACGUUUUCGCCCCAUGGUCCGUUAUCCUGGAUGACACGUGCAUAAAGUGGGUUUCUUGAUGUUACUCCCAACUCUUUUCUUUUCUUAACCUAGCUUUUUGUCUUAGUUAUUUAAGACAAUGUAUUUUCUUUAUGAAAGUAAUGAAAAGGGGAAAGGCCGGUUCAAAGAAAAAACAUGUUCAUUUAGUGGUCAUUCAUGAAUCGUGAAUAGGACUGGUCUCGAAACGAUAGAAAUGCUAUCCGUGCUUAAUGAUAGUGUGAUGUACUCCCUCGUUUCUAAAUAUAAGUUUUUUUAAAGAUUUCUCUGACAGAAUACAUACGGAGCAAAAUAAAUGAAUUUAUAUUUNAUAUUUUAAAUAUAUUUAUAUACAUCUGUAUAUAGUUCGUAAUGAAAUCUCUGAAAAGACUUAUAUUUAUAAACGGAGGGAGUAACAAAAAAUACAUGUAGAAAAUCAAAAUGUGUGAUCCCUAGUCAGAUUUUAGAAGUAAUGCUACAUGUACAAAGGUUUACAUAUAAACUCACGUGAAGGAUUGUGAUUGGUAAUAAGGGAUGAGUGGCUCCACCUCACUGAAAAUCAGGACAGGGGGAGGGGGGGGGGAAUUAGUUUGAAUGGUUAAGUAACUUUUGUAAGUCUUUGUAGGUCUAACAUUAUUGCAGAUUUUAGUCCAUAUUUCAAGGAAACUGGAAUCUGACUAGGGAUCACACAUGUAGGAAGAAAAAAGGUCCAUUUCUAGGAUGCAAGACCAUUUUCAGUAAUCGAUCGCAAAGGAAAUUAGAGCAUUUUCAAUAGACGGUCCAAAUGAAAAAAAAAUACUUAAAUUUUGGACCGUAUGAGGCAAAAAGCGAUUCUUCAGCAGACGGUCCAUAUGUAAAAAAAAUUGGACCGCGGCCUCCUCGUGAUGUAAAACGGAACACCUCGCAGUGCAAAUUUACAUCACGAGGUGCGUCUGGUNNNNNNNNNNNNNNNNNNNNNNNNNNNNNNNNNNNNNNNNNNNNNNNNNNNNNNNNNNNNNNNNNNNNNNNNNNNNNNNNNNNNNNNNNNNNNNNNNNNNGAUAGUCAGUGUCUUCUGAUUAUGAACAAGGUGUUGUUGCUUGAUAACUGGAUCACGUCAUUGGGAGAAUCACGUGAUGGACUAGACCCAAACUAAUAGACGUAGCAUGUUGAUCGUGUCAUUUUGUUGCUACUGUUUUCUGCGUGUCAAGUAUUUAUUCCUAUGACCAUGAGAUCAUAUAACUCACUGACACCGGAGGAAUGCUUUGUGUGUAUCAAACGUCGCAACGUAACUGGGUGACUAUAAAGAUGCUCUACAGGUAUCUCCGAAGGUGUUAGUUGAGUUAGUAUGGAUCAAGACUGGGAUUUGUCACUCCGUGUGACGGAGAGGUAUCUCGGGGCCCACUCGGUAAUACAACAUCACACACAAGCCUUGCAAGCAAUGUAACUUAGUGUAAGUUGCGGGAUCUUGUAUUACGGAACGAGUAAAGAGACUUGCCGGUAAACGAGAUUGAAAUAGGUAUGCGGAUACUGACGAUCGAAUCUCGGGCAAGUAACAUACCGAAGGACAAAGGGAAUGACAUACGGGAUUAUACGAAUCCUUGGCACUGAGGUUCAAACGAUAAGAUCUUCGUAGAAUAUGUAGGAUCCAAUAUGGGCAUCCAGGUCCCGCUAUUGGAUAUUGACCGAGGAGUCUCUCGGGUCAUGUCUACAUAGUUCUCGAACCCGCAGGGUCUGCACACUUAAGGUUCGACGUUGUUUUAUGCGUAUUUGAGUUAUAUGGUUGGUUACCGAAUGUUGUUCGGAGUCCCGGAUGAGAUCACGGACGUCACGAGGGUUUCCGGAAUGGUCCGGAAACGAAGAUUGAUAUAUAGGAUGACCUCAUUUGAUUACCGGAAAGGUUUUCGGAGUUACCGGGAAUGUACCGGGAAUGACGAAUGGGUUCCGGGGGUUCACCGGAGGGGGGCAACCCACUCCGGGGAAGCCCAUAGGUAUUUGGGGGGGUCACACCAGCCCUUAGUGGGCUGGUGGGACAGCCCACCAAAUCCUAUGCGCCAAGGAAGAAAAAUCAAAGAAAGAAAAAAAAGGAGGGGAAGUGGGAAGGGGGAAGGACUCCCUCCCACCAAACCAAGUAGGACUCGGUUUGGGGGGGGGAGAGUCCUCCCCCCUGGCUCGGCCGACCCCUUGGGGUUCCCUUGGACCCCAAGGCAAGGUCCCCCUCCCUCCUCCUAUAUAUAUGGGGCUUUUAGGGCAGAUUUGAGACGACUUUCUCACGGCUGCCCGACCACAUACCUCCAUAGUUUUUCCUCUAGAUCGUGUUUCUGCGGAGCUCGGGCGGAGCCCUGCUGAGACAAGAUCAUCACCAACCUCCGGAGCACCGUCACGCUGCCGGAGAACUCUUCUACCUCUCCAUCUCUCUUGCUGGAUCAAGAAGGCCGAGAUCAUCGUCGAGCUGUACGUGUGCUGAACGCGGAGGUGCCGUCCGUUCGGUACUAGAUCGUGGGACUGAUCGCGCGAUUGUUCGCGGGGCGGAUCGAGGGACGUGAGGACGUUCCACUACAUCAACCGCGAUCUCUAAUCGCUUCUGCUGUACGAUCUACAAGGGUACGUAGAUCACUCAUCCCCUCUCGUAGAUGGACAUCACCAUGAUAGGUCUUCGUGCGCGUAGGAAAAUUUUUGUUUCCCAUGCGACGUUCCCCAACAGUGGCAUCAUGAGCUAGGUUCAUGCGUAGAUGUCUUCUCGAGUAGAACACAAAAGGUUUUGUGGGCGGUGAUGUGCGUUUUGCUGCCCUCCUUAGUCUUUUCUUGAUUCCGCGGUAUUGUUGGAUUGAAGCGGCUUGGACCGACAUUACUCGUACGCUUACGAGAGACUGGUUUCAUCGUUACGAGUAACCCCCUUUGCUCAAAGAUGACUGGCAAGUGACGGUUUCUCCAACUUUAGUUGAAUCGGAUUUGACCGAGGAGGUCCUUGGAUGAGGUUAAAUAGCAACUCAUAUAUCUCCGUUGUGGUGUUUGCGUAAGUAAGAUGCGAUCCUACUAGAUACCCUUGGUCACCACGUAAAACAUGCAACAACAAAAUUAGAGGACGUCUAACUUGUUUUUGCAGGGUAUGAUUGUGAUGUGAUAUGGCCAAUGAUGUGAUGUGAUAUAUUGGAUGUAUGAGAUGAUCAUGUUGUAAUAGAAAUAUCGACUUGCACGUCGAUGGUACGGCAACCGGCAGGAGCCAUAGGGUUGUCUUUAUACUAACAUAUGUGCUUGCAGAUGCGUUUACUAUUUUGCUAGGAUGUAGCUUUAGUAGUGAUAGCAUAAGUAGCACGACAACCCCGAUGGCGACACGUUGAUGGAGAUCAUGAUGAUGGAGAUCAUGGUGUGGCGCCGGUGACAAGAAGAUCGUGCCGGUGCUUUGGUGAUGGAGAUCAAGAAGCACGUGAUAAUGGCCAUAUCAUGUCACUUAUGAAUUGCACGUGAUGUUAAUCCUUUAAUGCACCUUAUUUUGCUUAGAACGACGGUAGCAUUAUGAGGUGAUCUCUCACUAAAAUUUCAAGACGAAAUUGUGUUCUCCCCGACUGUGCACCGUUGCUACAGUUCGUCGUUUCGAGACACCACGUGAUGAUCGGGUGUGAUAGACUCAACGUUCACAUACAACGGGUGCAAAACAGUUGCGCACGCGGAACACUCGGGUUAAGCUUGACGAGCCUAGCAUGUGCAUACAUGGCCUCGGAACACAUGAGACCGAAAGGUCGAUCAUGAAUCAUAUAGUUGAUAUGAUUAGCAUAGGGAUGCUUACCACUGAAACUACUCCCGACUCACGUGAUGAUCGGACUUGGGAUAGUGUAGGUGGAUCAUGAACCACUCAAAUGACUAGAGAGAUGUACUUUUUGAGUGGGAGUUUAGCAUGUAAUUUGAUUAAGUUGAACUCUAAUUAUCUUGAACAUAGUCUAAGUCCACUUUGAAUAUAUUUGUGUUGUAGAUCAUGGCUCACGCAAGUGUCAUCCUCAAUUUUAAUACGUUCCUAGAGAAAGCUAAGUUGAAAGAUGAUGGAAGCAACUUUGUAGACUGGGCUCGUAAUCUUAGGCUAAUCUUACAAGCUGGAAAGAAGGAUUAUGUCCUUAAUGCUGCGCUAGGAGAUGAACCACCCGCUACGGCUGAUCAGGAUGUUAAGAACGCCUGGUUAGCACGUAAGGAGGACUACUCAAUAGUUCAAUGUGCAGUCUUGUAUGGCUUAGAGCCGGGACUUCAACGUCGCUUUGAGCGUCAUGGAGCAUUUGAGAUGUUCCAGGAGUUGAAGUUUAUCUUUCAGAAGAACGCCCGGAUCGAGAGGUAUGAGACCUCCGAUAAAUUCUAUGCUUGCAAGAUGGAGGAAAGCUCGUCUGUCAGUGAACAUGUGCUCAAGAUGUCUGGGUACUCAAACCGUCUAGCUGAACUAGGGAUUGAACUCCCACAAGAAGCUAUCACUGACAGAAUCCUCCAAUCACUGCCGUCAAGCUAUAAAGGCUUUGUGUUGAACUACAACAUGCAAGGGAUGAACAAGUCUCCCGGCGAGUUGUUUGCGAUGCUGAAAGUCGCACAGUCUGAACUCCGUAAAGAGCAUCAAGUGUUGAUGGUGAGCAAGACCACUAGUUUCAAGAGAAACGGCAAAGGCAAGAAGGGCAAUUCGAAGAAGAGCGGCAAGCCUGUUGCCAAUCCGCCGAAGAAACCCAAGGAUGGACCUAAGCCUGAAACAGAGUGCUUCUAUUGCUGGGGUAUGGGUCACUGGAAGCGCAAUUGCCCCAAGUAUCUGGCAGAUAAGAAGGCGGGCAAAGAAAAAUCAGGUAUAUUUGAUAUACAUGUUAUUGAUGUGUACUUAACCGGCUCUCGUAGUAGUGCCUGGGUAUUCGAUACCGGUUCUGUUGCUCACAUUUGCAACUCGAAACAGGAACUGCGGAAUAGACGGAGGCUGGCGAAAGACGAAGUAACGAUGCGCGUAGGAAACGGUUCCAAGGUUGAGGCAAUCGCCGUCGGCACCGUGUCACUUCAACUACCAUCGGGAUUAGUGAUGAACUUAAAUCAUUGUUAUUUAGUGCCUGCGUUGAGCAUGAACAUUAUAUCUGGAUCUUGUUUAUUGCGAGACGGUUACUCUUUUAAGUCUGAGAAUAAUGGUUGUUCUAUUUCUAUGAGUAACAUCUUUUAUGGUCAUGCACCGAAUGCGAGAGGAUUGUUCAUAUUGAAUCUUGAUAGAGAUACACAUAUACAUAACAUUGAGACCAAAAGAGUUAGAGUAAACAAUGAUAGCACCAUAUUUUUGUGGCACUGCCGCUUGGGUCAUAUUGGUGUAAAGCGCAUGAAGAAACUCCAUGCUGAUGGACUUUUGGAGUCACUUGACUUUGAUUCACUUGACACGUGCGAACCAUGCCUCAUGGGCAAGAUGACUAAGACUCCGUUCUCCGGAACAAUGGAGCGUGCAAGUGACUUGUUGGAAAUCGUACAUACCGAUGUGUGUGGUCCAAUGAGCGUGGAGGCACGCGGCGGAUAUCGUUAUUUUCUCACCUUCACUGACGAUCUAAGUAGAUAUGGUUAUGUCUACUUGAUGAAGCACAAGUCUGAAACAUUUGAAAAGUUCAAGCAAUUUCAGAGUGAAGUGGAAAAUCAUCGUAACAAGAAGAUCAAGUUCCUACGGUCUGAUCGUGGGGGUGAGUAUCUAAGUUUCGAGUUUGGUACUCACUUAAGACAAUGUGGAAUUGUUUCGCAGUUAACACCGCCUGGAACACCACAGCGUAAUGGUGUGUCCGAACGUCGUAAUCGUACUUUGCUAGAGAUGGUGCGGUCUAUGAUGUCUCUUACUGAUUUGCCAUUAUCUUUUUGGGGUUAUGCAUUAGAAACAGCUGCAUUCACUUUAAAUAGGGCACCAUCAAAAUCCGUUGAGACGACACCAUACGAAAUGUGGUAUGGCAAAAGACCAAAGUUGUCGUUUCUUAAAGUUUGGGGAUGUGAUGCUUAUGUCAAAAAGCUUCAGCCUGAAAAGCUGGAACCCAAAGCGGAAAAAUGUGUCUUCAUAGGUUACCCAAAAGAGACAGUUGGGUACACCUUCUAUCUCAAAUCCGAAGGCAAAGUGUUUGUUGCUAAGAACGGAACUUUUCUCGAGAAGGAGUUUCUCUCGAGAGAAUUGAGUGGGAGGAAGAUAGAACUUGACGAGGUUGUCGAACCUCUCAUCCCUCUGGAUGGUGGCGCAGGGCAGGGGGAAACCUCUGUCAUUGCGACGCCGGUUGAGGAGGAAGUUAAUGAUGAUGAUCAUGAAACUCCAGUUCAAGUUUCUGUUGAACCACGCAGGUCGACGAGAUCACGCGCUGCUCCAGAGUGGUACGGUAAUCCCGUCUUGUCAAUCAUGUUGUUAGACAACAAUGAACCUGCAAAUUAUGAAGAAGCAAUGGUGGGGCCAGAUUCCAACAAAUGGCUGGAAGCCAUGAAAUCCGAGAUAGGAUCCAUGUAUGAGAACAAAGUGUGGACUUUGGAGAUACUACCUGAGGGCCGCAAGGCUAUUCGGAACAAAUGGAUCUUUAAGAAGAAGACGGACGCUGACGGUAAUGUGACCGUUUAUAAAGCUCGACUUGUGGCAAAGGGUUUUUCACAAGUUCCAGGAAUUGACUACGAUGAGACUUUCUCUCCCGUAGCGAUGCUUAAGUCCGUCAGAAUCAUGUUAGCAAUAGCUGCAUUUUUCGAUUAUGAAUUUUGGCAGAUGGAUGUCAAAACGGCGUUCCUUAACGGUUACCUUAAGGAAGAGUUGUAUAUGAUGCAACCCGAAGGUUUUGUCGAUCCUGAAAAUGCUGACAAGGUGUGCAAGCUCCAGCGAUCCAUUUAUGGACUGGUGCAAGCAUCUCGGAGUUGGAACAAACGCUUUGAUGAGGUGAUCAAAGCAUUUGGGUUUAUACAAGUGGUUGGAGAAUCUUGUAUUUACAAGAAAGUGAGUGGGAGCUCUGUGGCGUUUCUAAUACUGUAUGUGGAUGACAUAUUACUGAUUGGAAACAACGUAGAGCUUUUGGAGAGCAUAAAAGGUUACUUGAAUGAAAGUUUCUCUAUGAAGGACCUAGGAGAAGCUGCUUACAUUCUAGGCAUUAAGAUCUAUAGGGAUAGAUCAAAACGCCUGAUAGGGCUUUCACAAAGCACAUACCUUGAUAAAGUUUUGAAAAGGUUCAAAAUGGAACAGUCCAAGAAAGGGUUCUUGCCAGUGUUACAAGGUACGAGAUUGAGUAAGACUCAGUGCCCAGCAACUGAUGAAGAUAGAGAGCAUAUGCGCUCCGUCCCCUAUGCUUCAGCCAUAGGCUCUAUCAUGUAUGCAAUGUUGUGCACUAGACCGGAUGUUAGCCUGUCCAUAAGUAUGGCAGGUAGGUUCCAGAGUAAUCCAGGAGUGGAUCACUGGACGGCGGUCAAGAAUAUCCUGAAGUACCUGAAAAGGACUAAGGAGAUGUUUCUCGUGUAUGGAGGUGACGAAGAGCUCGCCGUAAAAGGUUACGUCGAUGCAAGCUUUGACACAGAUCCGGACGACUCUAAGUCGCAAACCGGAUACGUAUUUAUUCUUAAUGGGGGUGCAGUAAGCUGGUGCAGUUCCAAGCAAAGCGUCGUAGAAGAUUCUACAUGUGAAGCGGAGUACAUGGCUGCCUCGGAGGCGGCUAAGGAGGGUGUCUGGAUGAAGCAGUUCAUGACGGAUCUUGGAGUGGUGCCAAGUGCACUGGAUCCAAUAACCUUGUUCUGUGACAACACUGGUGCCAUUGCCUUAGCAAAGGAACCAAGGUUUCACAAGAAGACCAGACACAUCAAACGACGCUUCAACCUCAUCCGCGACUACGUCGAGGAGGAGGACGUAAAUAUAUGCAAAGUGCACACGGAUCUGAAUGUAGCAGACCCGCUGACUAAGCCUCUUCCACGGCCAAAACAUGAUCGACACCAGAACUGUAUGGGUGUUAGAUUUAUUACAAUGUAAUUCACAUGGUGAUGUGAGGGCUAGAUUAUUGACUCUAGUGCAAGUGGGAGACUGUUGGAAUUAUGCCCUAGAGGCAAUAAUAAAUGUAUAGUUAUUAUUAUAAUUCCUGUAUCAAGAUAAUAGUUUAUUAUCCAUGCUAUAAUUGUAUUGAAUGAAGACUCAUUUACAUGUGUGGAUACAUAGACAAAACACCGUCCCUAGCAUGCCUCUAGUUGGCUAGCCAGUUGAUCGAUGAUAGUCAGUGUCUUCUGAUUAUGAACAAGGUGUUGUUGCUUGAUAACUGGAUCACGUCAUUGGGAGAAUCACGUGAUGGACUAGACCCAAACUAAUAGACGUAGCAUGUUGAUCGUGUCAUUUUGUUGCUACUGUUUUCUGCGUGUCAAGUAUUUAUUCCUAUGACCAUGAGAUCAUAUAACUCACUGACACCGGAGGAAUGCUUUGUGUGUAUCAAACGUCGCAACGUAACUGGGUGACUAUAAAGAUGCUCUACAGGUAUCUCCGAAGGUGUUAGUUGAGUUNNNNNNNNNNNNNNNNNNNNNNNNNNNNNUAUAGUUAUUAUUAUAAUUCCUGUAUCAAGAUAAUCGUUUAUUAUCCAUGCUAUAAUUGUAUUGAAUGAAGACUCAUUUACAUGUGUGGAUACAUAGACAAAACACUGUCCCUAGCAAGCCUCUAGUUGGCUAGCCAGUUGAUCAAAGAUAGUCAGUGUCUUCUGAUUAUGAACAAGGUGUUGUUGCUUGAUAACUGGAUCACGUCAUUAGGAGAAUCACGUGAUGGACUAGACCCAAACUAAUAGACGUAGCAUGUUGAUCGUGUCAUUUUGUUGCUACUGUUUUCUGCGUGUCAAGUAUUUUUUCCUAUGACCAUGAGAUCAUAUAACUCACUUACACCGGAGGAAUUCUUUGUGUGUAUCAAACGUCGCAACGUAACUGGGUGACUAUAAAGAUGCUCUACAGGUAUCUCCGAAGGUGUUAGUUGAGUUAGUAUGGAUCAAGACUGGGAUUUCUCACUCCGUGUGAUGGAGAGGUAUCUCGGGGCCCACUCGCUAAUACAACAUCACACACAAGCCUUGCAAGCAAUGUGACUUAGUGUAAGUUAUGGGAUCUUGUAUUAUGGAACGAGUAAAGAGACUUGCCGGUAAACGAGAUUGAAAUAGGUAUGCGGAUACUGACGAUCGAAUCUCGGGCAAGUAACAUACCGAAGGACAAAGGGAAUGACAUACGGGAUUAUAUGAAUCCUUGGCACUGAGGUUCAAACGAUAAGAUCUUCGUAGAAUAUGUAGGAUCCAAUAUGGGCAUCCAGGCCCCGCUAUUGAAUAUUGACCGAGGAGUCUCUCGGGUCAUGUCUACAUAGUUCUCGAACCCGCAGGGUCUGCACACUUAAGGUUCGACGUUGUUUUAUGCGUAUUUGAGUUAUAUGGUUGGUUACCGAAUGUUGUUCGGAGUCCCGGAUGAGAUCACAGACGUCACGAGGGUUUCCAGAAUGGUUCGAAAACGAAAAUUGAUAUAUAGGAUGACCUCAUUUGAUUACCGAAGGUUUUCGGAGUUACCGGGAAUGUACCGGGAAUGACGAAUGGGUUCCGGGAGUUCACCGGGGGGGGGGGGAACCCCCCCGGGGAAGCCCAUAGGCCUUGAGGGUGGCACACCAGCCCUUAGUGGGCUGGUGGGACAGCCCAAAAGGGCCCUAUGCGCAUUGGAAGAAAAAUCAAAGAGAAAAGAAAAAAAAGGAGGAGGUGGGAAGGGAAGGAAGGACUCCCACCCACCAAACCAAGUCCAACUCGGUUUGGGGGGGAGACCUUCCCCCCUUGGCUCGGCCGACCCCCUUGGGGCUCCUUGAGCCCCAAGGCAAGGUCCCCCCUCUCCCACCUAUAUAUACAGAGGUUUUAGGGCUGAUUUGAGACGACUUUUCCACGACAGCCCGACCACAUACCUUCAUGGUUUUUCCUCUAGAUCGCGUUUCUGCGGAGCUCGGGCGGAGCCCUGCUGAGACAAGGUCAUCACCAACCUCCGGAGCGCCGUCACGCUGCCGGAGAACUCUUCUACCUCUCCGUCUCUCUUGCUGGAUCAAGAAGGCCGAGAUCAUCGUCAAGCUGUACGUGUGCUGAACGCGGAGGUGCCGUCCGUUCGGUACUAGAUCGUGGGACUGAUCGCGGGAUUGUUCGUGGGGCGGAUCGAGGGACGUGAGGACGUUCCACUACAUCAACCGCGUUCACUAACGCUUCUGCUGUACGGUCUACAAGGGUACGUAGAUCACUCAUCCCCUCUCGUAGAUGGACAUCACCAUGAUAGGUCUUCGUGCGCGUAGGAAAUUUUUUGUUUCCCAUGCGACAUAACCCAACAGUGCAUGUACAGAAGGAGUAGACGUUGGUUCGGAGGUCCUGCACCGAGCAGUGGUCCAGUCCUCGGAGGACGAGACGGCGGUGCUGAAGUGGGCGAGGCGGCCAAACUGGCGUGAGGCCGCGCGUCCUACCGAAGGGGAGGUCGGCGUAGUAGACGGGUGCACAACUCCGGCGCGGGGCGUCGACAGGGACCUCCAUGAAGACGAAGACAAGGAGGUAGUAGUCGCGGGUGAGCAUCGGCGUGACGGUGUCCCAGAGGAGCAGCGGCAUCGGGCGGCGAGUCGUCGACCGGCUGCCGGUAGGAGGCGGACAGGGGAGAGAAGCGAGGCGUUGACGACGAGCAAAAGGGCCUAACUUCGCAGCCAACUGAUUCGCCGUAGGUGGCUAGGCGCACGUCGUGGCUGCCGGAACCUAGUGGGUUCGGCAGCUGAGUUUUUCACUUCCCAAAAUACACUCACCACUCGUAUACCGGAGGACAGAGCGAUGCGGUGCAAGCCAUACCGCGUGCAAUUCCACUAGCGAAAUUGGAGCAGUACAUAUCGCUCCCCACCAUUAGAUUUCAUAAAUGAACGACCCAUAUUUCUCCUAUGGUACCAUAAAAGAGCUCUUAAAAAAAGAAAAGAACUCGUUCCGCUCGUCUAUCCGCGGCGCGUUACGACCGAGAGAAGAAGCCGAAGCCACAGCUGCAGGAACGCCUGCUCUUCGGGACGCCACGGUCCACGUUUCUUCUUCCUGGGUCGUCGUCUCCCGAGCCACCGCCACCGCCCCCGCNNNNNNNNNNNNNNNNNNNNNNNNNNNNNNNNNNNNNNNNNNNNNNNNNNNNNNNNNNNNNNNNNNNNNNNNNNNNNNNNNNNNNNNNNNNNNNNNNNNNNNNNNNNNNNNNNNNNNNNNNNNNNNNNNNNNNNNNNNNNNNNNNNNNNNNNNNNNNNNNNNNNNNNNNNNNNNNNNNNNNNNNNNNNNNNNNNNNNNNNNNNNNNNNNNNNNNNNNNNNNNNNNNNNNNNNNNNNNNNNNNNNNNNNNNNNNNNNNNNNNNNNNNNNNNNNNNNNNNNNNNNNNNNNNNNNNNNNNNNNNNNNNNNNNNNNNNNNNNNNNNNNNNNNNNNNNNNNNNNNNNNNNNNNNNNNNNNNNNNNNNNNNNNNNNNNNNNNNNNNNNNNNNNNNNNNNNNNNNNNNNNNNNNNNNNNNNNNNNNNNNNNGUCGCCCCACACUCACCCACGGUGGUGGAGGAGCCUUCCGAGCCCCGUCGCCGCCUCUGCCCCCUCCCCCCGUUCCUUCACCUGNNNNNNNNNNNNNNNNNNNNNNNNNNNNNNNNNNNNNNNNNNNNNNNNNNNNNNNNNNNNNNNNNNNNNNNNNNNNNNNNNNNNNNNNNNNNNNNNNNNNUUUCCUUUUUCUUCUUUGACAUGGUUUUUUAUGUUUAUGUUUUUAUUUUUGUUUGAUGUUUUUUUUUCUCCAUUUUUCGUUUGAUUUCAUUUGUUUCUUCAUUUUCUUUUNNNNNNNNNNNNNNNNNNNNNNNNNNNNNNNNNNNNNAUUUUAUUUGUUUUACUUCAUUUCUUUAUGUUUGUUGCUCUACAUUCCUAUACACAUGGUCAACAUGUUUUCAAAUAAUUGUUCAACAUUUUUUACACAAUUGUUUAAUAAAUUUAAAUUACAUCUUCAACAUUUUUAUAUACAUGAUCAAAAUGUUUUCAAGUAUUUGUUCAAUAUUUUUGAAAUACUUGGACGAAAAUUUUCAAAUACUUCUUCAACAUUUCUAUAUACAUGGUCAACAUUUUCAAAAUAAUUGUUCAACAUUUUUCAAAUACUUGAUCAAAAUUUAUAUAUAUAUAUAUGAUCAAUAAUUUUUUAAAUAUUUGUUCAACAUUUUUCAAAUAGUUGUUCUACAUUUUUCAAAUAGUUGUUCAACAUUUUUAAAUACUUAUGCAACAAGUUUGAAAUGUUUUUUGAAGAUUUUUUGUUCUACUAUAUAUAUUUAGAAUAUUUUAAAAUAUAAUCAAAACUAUAGAAAUAAAAUCAAAAAGGGAAAACUGAAAACGUAAAUAAAUAUAGGAAAAAGAGGUUGUGGCCUCCCACACUCGUCGUCAGCCCAGCUAGCUCGCCCCUUCAGCGAGUCAGAAGCCAGACUCGGUGAAGGCAAGACAUAGACGUUCCUGGCACCAUAGGCCUAAAACUGAACUCACAAACUUAGCUCGGUUUUCUAGGAUAGAUGAGUGGCAUUCUAACCAAAAUUAUCGGUUUCAGUGUAUUUCAUUUGAAUUUAGGUUCUUUCAGUUGGCUACUUGUGCCGUCGGUUAAAUUGUCGCACCCCUAUGGAUGUUGACAUCAUGUAUGAGCUCAUUUGAUACUCUCUCAAACGGUCACUCCGUCUGACAGCUUGGCCAGUUAGACAUGACUGAAUGCUUGGGGAGCCACUUGUGGCCUCAGGACAAUGCAUAAUGCUGUUGUACCAUGGUUACAUCUCGAUUAGGUAAAAAAAAUGGUUACACCUUGAUUUUUAGUGAGAUCUUUCAUGCCAACCAGAGUGAUUACUCCCUUGAAUGGAACACGUGGUGGUUAGAGUACCAUACAAUCUCCCCCACUCCGCCUAUAAAAGGUUAGGCAAAGCAACGUAGGGGGAAAACAUCCUCUGAUUGUUCACAUUCUCAUCUUUCUCCUUUGGGCUACCAUUACCAAAGGAGCAAAAGCUUCAAUCUCACCAAAUUUUAGCGCUCGAGAAUUAAAUCACACUUACAAGUGAAACAAAAUUUUAGUCCAACUAAAACAAAUUUUAGGACAUAUGGAACAAAUCAUAACUUCCAUCCGUAUAGAAAUAUGGGCCAAUUGGAACAAAAUCUUAGUCCACUGAAACAAAUAAUAUAUGCAAAAACACAAUACUAGGACCAUAUUUUUAGAGUAUGUGAAAUAAAUCAAGAUUACAAAAGGAACAAAAAGUUUAGAUCAAGCAGAGCAAAUUUUUAUCACAUGAGAAAUAAAUCAUGAUUGCGCAAAACAAUUUUGGACUAAGUGAAACAAAUUUUUAGCAAUUAUGGAACAAACCACAACUAUAGACGGGACAAAUUUUUGGACUAAAAGAAACAAUGAUUUUGCCUAAACGGAAGAGAAAUCAUGAAAUCUUACAAAACCAUACAAAGAAAAAUGAAAAAUAACAAAAAAUAUAAAAAGGAAAUAAUAAUAAAAUAGUUGAACACGAAAACAAAAAUAAUGGCAGAAAAAAGAACGAAAAAGUACAGGGAUGAGGUGAGAGUAGAGGGAAGGGCGGGAGCCAACCUAGGAAGGAACAUGAGCUAACCAUAUGUUAUUUUUGUCCAAGCAUACUUCCAAAGAGCGAUUUUUCUUGUUAGGAGUCACUAGGGCGACACCGAGCAUUUCAGUGGAAGAGGGACUGUUUUAAGACCUAAUGUUUCUUUGUUGGGUUCUAAUGGGCUUUCUUUGGGACGGAUCUUAUGGGGCCUAGCCAGAUGCAUUUUGAUAUUUCAUUUGAGCAAAGGAGUGUCUUGCGAUAGAAGAAGAGAAGAGGUGAAAAUAGACAAACUGACCCAAACUUGAUUUUUUCCGCAUGUAAAAGGAAAAGCAUCAGCUGGGGCACCAUGAUUAUUGCAUGGCAUCAUGAAAUACCUAUGUGGAAUUCCUAAAAUUUCAUGUGCUUUAGUAAACAUAUUAUAUAUUCUAUGAUUUCUAGAUCUAUCCAUAGGGAUCGAUUAAGAAUGAGCAAGUUUCUUUGUGAGCAAUAUCGUGGGCACUCUGACAUAUUUGUUCUGUUUGCUUACAACAGUGUAUAAUUUGCACUAUGCAUAGACUGAAAUUCCAAAAUUGUUUGCAUGACACAACACAAUAAUAUAAUGUUACUACUCACUAUUUUACAGUAUACUGUAGUUCAUAACGGAGAUGGUUACGGCAGUGGUGCUCAUUGUUAUUGGUAAGUAGAAAUAAAAAGAAGAGCGCAAAAAGGGAAAAAAGGAUAAUGACAAAUAUAUUGUUUAGACAACAUAUCAACACAUUUAGAAGAAAACUAGUGAGCUAUCACGGAUUCAUAUACUGGUUUAUAGCCCAUAUAUUUUCUGAUAAACCAACUGAUCUCCACCAAAAAUACCUCUAAAUGGAUUAUAUGAGAAGACAACCUAGUAAGGUCUAAGGGGGUCACAUUUUCUGAUAAUCCUACGGAUCUCCUUCCAAAUAUCUGCGAAAAAGUUCAGGACUAGGGCACUAGGCGACAUGAUCUAAGGUGCUAGGUUGCAAAUGAUCAACAAAUUAAAUGAUCACAUAUCAACUACGGAUCCACACUCUGAAGCUAGCAAAACUUGAUUGCGUUCAUCCACAUAUAAUAUAUAUAUUGAAAAACAGCAGUACAUUGCACUAAUCAGGCGAUCCGAUUUUGCUUGCCAAUUGACAUCACAUACCCUUGGUUCUAAGAGAAGAGCUUGAUAUACUCAACGCACGCAUCUCUGAGCUUGCUGCAAUGAUGUUGUUCAGCUAUAGCCAAUGUGGCCAAGACGCUCUUGGCAUCGAGACUCUUGAUCAAAAUGCUCUCGCACAUCAGCUUCAUCCUUUCCAUGGCAUACCUGUCUGCAGCCACGAGCAAGAGCUUAAUCAUCUCCUUGUUGUCAUAGUUGUCAUUUACAUAUAUGGCGGGCAGUGAAUCUGUAUAGAUGAAGUGCAGCAAGGCUCUGAAAACAGCCGGCUGCAUGUCUUCAAUCUGCAGGCAAGAUUUCUCGCUUUUCCCCAUUGGCCCAUAGAGCUCCGCAUCGAAGGCCGGAGACCGCAACGCAAGCACGAUCUUAUGCGCAUGGAAGGUCUCCCCGUUGACCUUGAUCAUCACGUCUGCUCCUUUGUUCGCCUCCAGAAGUUUUGCCAGAUUCUCCAACAAGUCGGACGGCGGCACCUCGAUUUCCGGCGUCUUGGUGGCGAUUGCCAUGGCAGGUAUUUCUUUGAGGAGAACGGUCAAGUCACACUGGAUCAAGAGGCAAUCAUCCUGCACGUAUGGGGAUGCCUCCAGGACGUCAGUCUUCAUGAACUUGGAAACCCCCCUGAGAUGUUCGUUCCUGCCUGAGUCGAACGCCGGGAAGGAGGACGGCCGGGAGAUAACCAAUGACGACAACCCGGUGCCCCAGUCAGUCAGCCUCAGGUCGUACAGCGCCCUCACCGUGGAUUUCUUGCUCUGGAGCUCAACGAAGACUGAUACAUAGUCGUUGGUGUCCGCACUGAAUCCAUCGGGGUAGUAACGAAGGCACCAAUCAUAACCGCCGACGGCGAAGGUGGCUGAUCGUACGAAUUUACCGAUGCCGAGGCCCUUGUGCAGCCUGUAGCCGGCGAUCGUCAAAACGUGCGUUCCACGCGCCGUAGCCGGGAUGGACGCGGAGGCCGUGACCUUCGUACUCGGCCUCUGUGGUGCUGCCAUUGCCGGUGCUUGUGCCGACGGAAAACUACGGCGGCGGCGAAUAGGGUUUUGGUCAGCGACUUGUGCUCGGCUGGACCUCUCCUCUGUUUUGCCCUCUAUCUCCUCUACUCUGGGCUAGCCGGCCCUCGAUCGCGGGAGGCCACAGCCUCUUUUUUCUGAUUUUUACGUUUUACGUUUUUUGUUUAUAUAUUAAAAUAUUUUAAACACAUACUCUUACUUUUUAAAAUUCUUGUCUUAGAUUUGUGUAAGUAUGAAUGUAUCUAGUCAAAUUUUAGUAUUAAGAUACAUUCAUUUCUAAACAACCUAAGACAAAAAUUUUGAGACGGAGAGAGUAUAUUAAAAAAGUUUUCUUUAAAAAAAUUCAAUUUUCUGAACAAGUAUUUAAAAAUGUUAAACAAGUAUAUAAACAAAUGUUGAACAAGUAUUUUAUUAUUUAUUAUGUCUAUAAAAAUAUUAAUAAAGUAUAUAAAAAUGUGAAUAAGUAUUUAAAAAUUAUUGAUCAUGUUUAUACAAUGUUGAACAAGUGUUCUAAAAAAAUUGACUCUGUAUAUACCAAUGUAGAAUGAAAAAUAAAAGGUAACACACAAAACGGAAAUAAAUGAAAACNNNNNNNNNNNNNNNNNNNNAAAAAAAAUAAACCUAAGGAAAAGGAAAAUGAAAUAAACUAAAAAACAAAUAAAAAAUACCAGAGAUGAAAAAACACAAAAGAAUAGAAAAAACAAAAGAAGCAAGAAAAACCAGCUUCACUCGCUUCAAGUAGGACGCACCCCCUUCACCUAACGCUAACAGUAGCACGACGUGGUGGCUACGCUCGCUUGCUUCUUCCUCCUCCCUCCCCUUCUUCCUUUAACUGAGCGUGAAGUGGGCUGUCCCAAAUACUGUGCCGCAUUCAGCGAGAGAUCCUUCUAUCUCGCUGAAGGCGAUAAAUACUCGCCGUGGUAUCGAAGGUCUGGCUAUUUUUGUUUAAAAAUGUAUUCUUGCCCCAAUUUUCUUUGAAAACGUACCCUUGUGAAAAAUCUAUUUUUUUCUUCCUUGCUUCCCAUGAUGACGUAGUUUCUUGAUCCAAAAUCACUCUAGCUCGACACAAACUUCUCAGUCCAAACUCCUUCACCCAUCUUGACACAACGCACUCGACACAAUGCCGAUCCACAAAGUCUCAUGUUGUGCCUGUCUUCUUCAUGUGAGGAUGAGCCUAGUAAACCGGCAAAUGACACAUAUUAUGGUUACAUAGAGGAGAUAUAGGAAAUUCACUGUAGGCGUGAUGAUUUUAAGGUCCUUUUUUAUCGGUGCAAAUGGGUCAAUCUAACAGGAGGCGGGGUACAGGUAGACCCGUAGUACGGAAUGACAACACUGGAUCUCAACAAUCUCGGGUACGUAGACGAACCAUUCAUCUUAAUCAAUGAUGUGGCGUAGGUUUUCUAUGUGAAGGACAUGUCUACCAAACCGAAAAAAAGAUAAGAUAAGAAAACGAAUACAACACUGGAUCUCAACAAUCUCGGGUACGUAGACGAACCAUUCAUCUUAACCAAUGAUGUGGCGUAGGUUUUCUAUGUGAAGGACAUGUCUACCAAACCGAGAAAAAGAUAAGAUAAGAAAACGAAUACAUUAUAUGAUGAGCCAAAGCGCCAAAUAGUUCUUUCAGGGAAAAGAAACAUCGUGAGAGUGAAGGACAAGACAGACAUGUCAGAAGAUUAUGAAAAGGUUCAUGUAAUUCCUUCCUUCAUAGUGAAGACUGACUCAAGCAUCAUGUUAAAUGUGAACAUUUUCCAUGGUUACGACGCAAUAAGCAAUGUACACACGCAAAGAAAUAGUUUUAUACACCAAGAUCCCACUCUGGGAUGUGACCGGCUUCACCGCCAUCGCUUUCUCUCUAGUGUGAGUUUUCGGACUUAUAGCUGGAAGUGCCACUUCAGACAAACCGGAGGGAAUCUUUGCUAGGAUAUUUUGGCAUUUGAAACAUGAUUUUAGAAUAAUUAUUUAGUAAGUUAUGAAUUGUCAAUUAUUCAUGUCCUUUUAGUAUUAUAAUUAUACAGAGGAGUUAAUCAAUGUAAUUAUGUCCAAACAAAAUAUGAAUGUCUUCUGAGCAUUCUCUUCUAGAUAUGCCGCUUGAGGUCGACAUGCAUAGUUCAUACACCCACACUAGUUGGAGAUCUUUAUAGAGUAGCAGAGUAGCUGAGAUAGGGGCGACACUAGGAAGAACACGGGUUUGCCUACUCGGUUGUUUUGGUAUAUCUCAUUAAAAGGGGGAAGUUGAUGAUAUGUUGAGGGCUGAGAAAUCGGAAAAUCUUAUGAGAAUAGUCUAUUGUUUUGGUAUAUCUCAUGAAUAUCCAUGCACCUUUAUAUUACCUUACAUUAGGAGUACAAACCCACACCAUUAGUAAUGUUGGGUUAUACCCAAAGGGCUUUAGAUUCCGGAAGGAAGAUUGUGGCAGCAUUGAUCGCCUUGUGUCAUAUUUUCAAAAACAUAUUGACAAACCACUGCGGCAAUGGUACCUACGAAAAAUAACUUGAUAUAUAGAACUAUUUGUCACUCUCUGACCCCCCCCCCCCCCCCUCAAACAUUGCAUUCAUAUAAGCAUUCACUCUAGCAAGUAUUCCAGCAAUCAAAAUACAAUCAAUGAAUAAAGCAAUAAAGAAAAAAAGGUUAUUAGGUUAAUAAAAAGUAUUUUAUAAUAUUCUUCAAUAACAGAAUGAAUCAAAUGAGAAAGCUUUUAUAAAACACUAGUUAUGAUCAGAAUAAUAUUAACCUAAAAUUAUAUAAAAUUUAUCCAACUAAAAUUUUCAUAAAUUAUUUUUUUCUUAAAAACUUUAAUACCAAAUAGAAAUAAAUGAAAACUAGGCAUGUAUGCAUCUGUUUAAAAGAAAAAUAAAACUAAAAUAUCCUAAAAAGGUUUUAAACCAAAAAUAGGAAAAAGGGAUUUAGUCUCUAUUGAUGGCUAGAACCGGGAAUAAAGGCCAACCUUUAGUCCCGAUCAGAGCCACCAACCGGGACUAAAGCCCUCGGUUUCGCGCCCAUUGGGCUGCUAAAAUUUAGCUUUAGUCCCGGUUGGUGACUCCGUCCAGGACUAACGGUAGGCCUUCGUCCUGGUUGUGGCCAUCAACCGGGACUAAAGACCGGGGGUACUUAACCGUGCCUUCUCCCCUCACCCAAUCUUCCUCUCCACUCUCGCCCCCGAUGUCGUGCCGAACCCCACACCAUGACGGCGCCAGGCUGUCGGAGAUCAUCGUCGCCUCUGAGUCGUCCUCGAGCCCCCUGACCGUCGCUGGACCUCCUCGCCCCCCUUCCCGAGCAUCGUCGACCCUGCUCCUCGUUGACGUGACCUCCUUUCUCCCAACCCCUCUCCCCCGUUGGCCACCGUGGGCCGAAGCUCGCCGACCAUGCUGUUCCCCGCUUAUCCUAUCCCCCACCCCUCCCCCGGUCAUCGCCUCCCACACCGUUACCGACGCCGACGCCAACACCGCCCGCCUCUCCCACUGCCCGUGUACAUAUUCGGAUGUGUUCGUGAAUAUUUGAUGCCGCUCAUUUGAUUGUCCAUGUUGGAGUUGCUCUUAAGUUUUUCCAAUGAUCGAGUUAGUGAUUUAAAUCGUAUUGGAAUUUCUCUUAGGUUUUUCUCAUUAGAUUAUUAACAACGGUUCGGAUGAGAAGGCAAUGGACAAGAGAAUGCAACAAUUGUCUAGCUUUUUUUAUCAUGUAUAUUUAAAAUGCAAAUGAUAUUCCUAAAAAACGUAUAUGAAGCCACCAACGCUCAGGCCGCUACGACACCGGAAUUGUUGGCGUAGUUGCACGAAAUGUGUUUUGCAUGUUAAUUAAGAGAACUAGCUGUAAUUUAGUGUGAUCACCUAUUUAGGUAUACUAGAUGGUAACCUGCACAUCGUUGCAGAAUUGUUUUUUAAUACAUUUCAAUGCGAUUUGAUUAUUUAUAGUUGUAAAACAUCUAGCACAAUAGAAUUAAAAUUCUUUUGCAUGUUUUAGUUUAAAAAACCAAAAUUCAAAAUUUUUAGUUUUGAAAAAAUCUCAAAAAAGAAAUUCUACAAGUAACCAAGGAUGUCUUUAUCUAAAGGCAACGAUGCAUGUCCCGCAUCCUCGUCAUCAAGACGACGACAACAACCAGUUGGAGAGGUGGCAUAUUCGGGAUUGGGCUCCGGGGCACGUAGCUUAAUGAGGAAUUCGGGUCUCGUUGUUGGCCCAGAGCUUCUUUGGUGGCGGUCACGUGGGUCACCAUCGGUGCGGAGGUAGCGGGCUCUCGAUGAGGUGGUACGUCACCGUGUCAGGGAGGAGGACGAGCACGUCCGUCGCUACAUGAUUGCGUUGGACGCCAUGUUCUUCAAUACCUAACGGAAUCACCGGGGAUCUCACGAGAGCAAUGAUCUUGUGAUGGUUCCUUCUCCUUGAGUGCCCAUCAUCCGCGGCUCAGGAACCGCGAGUCAACUGGAUUUUUCAAUAAUAUUCGAGCUGUAUUAGUGAUAUUAUAUGAUAAUAUUCGAGAUGUAUUGGUGAUAAUAUUCGAUAAUACAUUAACUCAAUUAUUCGAGAUAUAUUAAUGAUAUUAUAUGAUAAUAUUAUAUGAAGGGUCCACAAUGAUCACCGAUGAUAUUAUAUGUAUUACUGAUAUUAUAUGAUAAUCUUGCUAAAAAAAUUAAUCCUCCUCGUCAUCCCUCGCCCCCUCACAUCAAACCUCGCCGGCGGCUGACUACUAAGGUUCAAUUUUUUGCAUUAAAUACUAGAAUCAUGAACAUAGGAAAUGUUGUCGUCCGAUGGUGAUAGGAUCCCUGAGUGCCAUUUAUGCUAGGAUGACAGGGGUAUAUGNNNNNNNNNNNNNNNNNNNNNNNNNNNNNNNNNNNNNNNNNNNNNNNNNNNNNNNNNNNNNNNNNNNNNNNNNNNNNNNNNNNNNNNNNNNNNNNNNNNNAAUGUUCGUAUCUUUAUAACCGUAAGUCGGAACGAGGCGUAUCUUAUAUGGGUUUGGGGUAGUUUUGCGAGUAGAACCCGAUUAUAAGACUUGCAUAAUUAUUUGAGGUCAUUUAGCGUGUCGUAUGCCUAGGUUUGCGUGCUGUCCUAAUAGGUUUCGAACCGUAUCCAUUUUUCGUGCAAGUUCGGAUUGCUCGAGUGCUGUAUUAGAAAUGCCUUUGUUUUAGGAACUAUUUUUCCGUGUAUUUUAGAGCGGUCACUCGUAUUUUUGCGUGUAGGAUUUGCCGCUAGUUUAUUUUCCCGUAUAUAGGUGAUUAUAUCGCAUUUAUGUGUGGCAUUAUUUUGUGUUGCAAACCCCACAUAUUUUAUAUAUUCCCGGGGUAGAAAAAUUCAUUGGAUUUUUCUGUGCAAUUAGUUUUAGCUUUUAAGGAAGUUAGUUCGCGCGAUAUUUUGCCGUGUUGCCCUUUUGUUUAAUUCGUAGGAUUUAUUCCGUGCCUCGUUUGAAUUAGUUGUCAACUAGGGAGUUGUUCUUUGAUGUUUUGUCUAGCCCCUGGUAUUUUUAGUUGCAAUAGAAAUACAUGUUUAGGUGUGUUUUGAUUGCCCUCAAGUUGCUAGAAAUAGUGCUGUUUUAGAGGAGCUGAAAUAUUUCUAAGUCUGGAAUCUGUUAUAUUUUGUUGCUGUCUUGUCUUGCUUGCAUCUUGUGAUCUGUAGCUCUUUUGAGGUUGGUCCAAUGGAGUUAGUUGUACCCUUUGUGUUUCCCUAGCAUGCUGUAAAGUUUCAUGCUAUUUGGAGUCAUGUAGCUUAGGAUUUUGCUGCUGUCAAUAUUGCUUCAGAUCGAAAACUGCACUUUCAUGAGGUGCAAUUUUCACUAAGUCUGAAAUAGUGAGUGUGAUGCCAUUUUGUGACUUCUUUCCCUAGUGUUCCUUGCUGCCAUGCUAGUGGUUGUUAGUUGUUCGUAGUAGUGCUUCUUGCCCUCUUCCGUGCCAUGCCUUGCUUGAGCAUAUCGGAUUUGUGUAGCCGUAGUUGUGGGGCGUAGAAAAUACUAUGUGGCUGAUUUUGGCAGAUUGUAGUCAUUUCUUGUUUUGCUCGUAGUUUUUGAACCGUAGCUCCGAUUUGAUCGUGUCCUACAUGAAACUUACUUAGAAUCUCGUGUAGUUUCAUUUUAUCUUGCUGGUUGUAUGUUUUGAAGUGCUCGUAGCCAUCGUUGCACACAUAUUGCAUUCAUGCCAUCAUAUCUUGCGGUGCUUGUAUCUUUUGAUCUGUAGCUCCGUUGGAGAUGUUCUCUAAGUGUAGAUUGCUUGCCCUGACGCGUAGAAUCACGUGAACCUAUUUGUUUUUCUGUUUAACAACUAAUUAAAAGCAUUAGGCCAGAUCUGGACAGAAUCAUAAAUUAACUUGUGAGGUCGUUUCGGAGGUGCUAUAAGACAUUUCCGACCUCAUUUAAAAUGCCUAGAUAGGUAGUUUAAUUUCCGCUUCACCUCUUGCAUGUUUAAUCACAUUUAAUAUUGCCGUGUACCUAAUCGGGAUAGAACUAAAUAAAUAGACGUGGAGUAUCGUCAAUAUGCAACUCGUUGCAUAUUGAACUUCACUUAAUAUGUAGAGUUUGAUUGUGUGAUUGGUCAUGCCGUGACUUGCAUGUAUUCAGCUGCUCAUGCAUCAUAUGUGUUGUGCAUCGUGUGGUGAAUAUCGUGUGUUGAUGCUUGUUUCCGGUUUCCCCGUCUCGAUAGAGUUCCGCAAGCGUGUCGGAUGUGAGGACCCGUUCGACUACGUUGGUUCGUCUG